rnacentral:rRNA from 1 species
UACGUAGGGAGCAAGCGUUGUCCGGAAUCAUUGGGCGUAAAGCGCGCGUAGGUGGCCAUGUAAGUCCGCUGUGAAAGUCAAAGGCUCAACCUUUGAAAGCCGGUGGAUACUGCAUGGCUAGAGUACGGAAGAGGCGAGUGGAAUUCCUGGUGUAGCGGUGGAAUGCGCAGAUAUCAGGAAGAACACCCGUGGCGAAGGCGGCUCUCUAGUACGGUACUGACGCUGAGACGCGAAAGCGUGGGGAGCGAACAGG